GACGAACGCUGGCGGCGGGCUUAACACAUGCAAGUCGAACGGAAAGGCCCUGCUUUUGUGGGGUGCUCGAGUGGCGAACGGGUGAGUAACACGUGAGUAACCUGCCCUUGACUUUGGGAUAACUUCAGGAAACUGGGGCUAAUACCGGAUAGGAGCUCCUGCUGCAUGGUGGGGGUGGGAAAGUUUCGGCGGUUGGGGAUGGACGCGCGGCUUAUCAGCUUGUUGGUGGGGUAGUGGCUUACCAAGGAUUUGACGGGUAGCCGGCCUGGGAGGGUGACCGGCCACAUUGGGACUGAGGUACGGCCCAGACUCAUACGGGAGGCAGGAGUGGGGAAUAUUGCACAAUGGGCCGAGGCCUGAUGCAGCACCGCCGCGUGCGGGAUGACGGCCUUCGGGUUGUAAACCGAUUUCGCCUGUGCCGAAGCGUGAGUGACGGUAAUGGGGAAAGAAGCACCGGCUACCUCCGU
rnacentral:rRNA from 1 species